CCUCCUGCUGUCUGCUCUGGAGCUGCCAUGUGAGCCUGGGAAGACGACUCCAGCAGAAGGCAUCCUCCAUAAGACAAAUCUAUUUGAAGUUCAAAGAUACAGCAUACCCAGUUGAAGAUGUGCAAACAAAUACAUAGAAAAUGAUGAAUAAACAAAAAUCCAAAUAAAUAUUUGUGUUGGCAGCCUGUUGUAGGAUGAUAUAUAACUCCAUUGACUGCUGUCCAUUGCACAAAGAAGAUUUACUGACCAAGG
rnacentral:lncRNA from 1 species